GUCUCUGUGGCGCAAUCGGAUUAGCGCGUUCGACUGUUAACGCGAAAGGUUGGUGGUUCGAGCCCACCCAGGGACG